rnacentral:rRNA from 1 species
AAUAUUGGACAAUGGGCGCAAGCCUGAUCCAGCAAUACCGCGUGUGUGAAGAAGGCCYUAGGGUUGUAAAGCACUUUCAAUKGGGAGGAAAACCUGCCGGUCAAUACCCGGUAGCUUGACAUUACCUUUAGAAGAAGCACCGGCUAAAUCCGUGCCA